CUGCUGCCCAGCCAUGCCAAGCCGGCAGCUUCCAUGCAGAAAAUGCAUAAUGAGCCCGGUGUUCGUGGGCAGCUCUGCAUCAGCUUGGGGUUUCCAGCAGCACUUCUGAAAUAUGUGCAGCCUGUUCAUUCGGCGCCUACACAGUCCAGCAAGCGGCAAGGAGGAACAGGGGCCUGGAGCAGCCGGUCGCCGCUGCGAAUAGAACAACUCAUCCAUCCUGCAGCCUGUCGCCGAGCCGAGCUAUCCCAGAGGUCGCGCAUCUCUGCCGUGGAGCGUGACGAACUUCUGGCUGUUGUCAUGUGGAUUCCCCCCCGGAUGAGGAAAAGGGGGAGAGAAAAUUGCUUCCAGAGAUGAUCUUAUAGCUGAUGAGAGAGACACCAGCUGAGGCAGCAGUAUCGUAGAGAUGGCAGGCAUUAGACGGAUGAUGUUUCUUCCUGUUCUUGUGCAAAGCUCUUGUGGAAGCUUUAUGAUACUGGAUAAUCCUUUUCAAAAUAACGCCGGGGCACCCCGUGGAAAGCCCCUGCUUGUCAACACUUAAAGUGUGGCAAUUCAACCCAUGAAAUGACUGUGCUCAAGAUGAAUCUUAANAAAAAAAAAAAAAAAAAAAAAAAAAAAAAAAAAAAAAAAGAGAGAGAGACUUCCUUCUUAUAUUAAGGGAGGUGAAGUAAACUCUUCUCACUUCAUCCUAUUUUGAUGGCAACUCAUUAGCGAACUUUCUCCUUUUUGUGUUUCUUCUGAUUCGUAUUUUGAAUGUCCUAGUGCCACCAUUUGGUGGCUUUGAUAUUCGUCUAACUUGAUCCUUCGAGUUGGUGUACCAUGGGGGUUCAGUUUGUUUCGAAUGUGGUACAGAUCUAAGGUACCUUGUACAACCUUAGAGGGGUCAGGGAAUACUGGAAGUUAUAAACCGUCUUGGAACCGGCUUUCCACAGGAAGCGACGUUCCAGCAGUCUUUGUUUGAAGUCUAAGGAUUUCCCAGAAAACUUAAUGAAACUGCCCUUAAGUACUGCUGGGCGAUAAGCUUUUGAUGAUUGCUGCUACUGUUAGAGCUCCUAAACUGGAGAAAACUGCUUGUAAGGGCACACUCUGUCUUUUUUUUCUGGACAACAAAGGGAAAGUGAUGUAGCAGGCCCUGGAGUUUGGCAAAAUCAGUAACCAUACUGAAAACCAUCCAUCUAUUAUCUAUCUGUAUGCAUAUUAAAAAUAAAAUAUUAAUUUUGAAAGCUUCUGUGUGUCA
rnacentral:lncRNA from 1 species